GACAGAGGGUGCAAACGUUGUUCGGAAUUACUGGGCGUAAAGCGCGUGUAGGCUGCUCUGCAAGUCGGAUGUGAAAGCCCUGGGCUCAACCUAGGAAGUGCAUUCGAAACUGCAGAGCUGGAGUCCUGGAGAGGAAGGCGGAAUUCUCGGUGUAGAGGUGAAAUUCGUAGAUAUCGGGAAGAACACCCAUGGCGAAGGCAGCUCUCUGGGACGGUACUGACGCUGAGACGCGAAAGCGUGGGGAGCGAACAGG
rnacentral:rRNA from 1 species